GCUAGAGUACUGCUGCAGCGUUUGGGAUCCCCGACGCGGAGUUGAAAACAACGGUUCAUACAGAGUGGAGAUGAUUCAACGCAGAGCGGCGAGAUGGACCCUAGCACGCUUUCAUCCACUGGCCAGUGUUACUGAAAUGCUAAAUGAACUUGGGUGGCGCUCUCUUGAGGAAAGACGCAUUGACGCUCGUCUAGUCCUCAUGUACAAAAUUGUGCAGGGCCUUGCGCCAGUCAGCUGUUCAAAUCUUCUUCGUCCUGCAUUAAGAAGAUCUCGAAAUACACAUGAACACUCAUUCCUACCUUUA